rnacentral:misc_RNA from 1 species
GCCUGAAGUUGACCAUUUCUCUCCUCCAAUCUCUUCUGCAAUGUACAUAUAUCUUCUUCCAUGGUUUUAGCCUUAUUUUCAGCUUCCUGUCUUAUUAGUGUCUCUUUAGCAAAUGAUUGCUCUUGAGACGCAAGGCGGCUACGAACUUCCUUUAACUCUGCAGCUAAAGAAACUACGUUCCGUCUAAAACUUUGUUUCUUCUCAUUCAAAUCCUUCAACAA